rnacentral:rRNA from 1 species
UGAGGAAUAUUGGUCAAUGGGCGAGAGCCUGAACCAGCCAAGUAGCGUGCAGGAUGACGGCCCUAUGGGUUGUAAACUGCUUUUAUAUGGGAAUAAAGUGAGGGACGUGUCCCUUAUUGCAUGUACCAUACGAAUAAGGACCGGCUAAUUCCGUGCCAGCAGCCGCGGUAAUACGGAAGGUCCAGGCGUUAUCCGGAUUUAUUGGGUUUAAAGGGAGCGUAGGCUGUUUGUUAAGCGUGUUGUGAAAUGUAAGAGCUCAACUUUUAGAUUGCAGCGCGAACUGGCAGACUUGAGUGCGCACAACGUAGGCGGAAUUCAUGGUGAAGCGGUGAAAUCCUUAGAUAUCAUGACGAACUCCGAUUGCGAAGGCAGCUUACGGGAGCGCAACUGACGCUAAAGCUCGAAGGUGCGGGUAUCGAACAGG